rnacentral:rRNA from 1 species
CCUACGGGAGGCAGCAGUGGGGAAUAUUGCACAAUGGGCGAAAGCCUGAUGCAGCAACGCCGCGUGAAGGAAGAAGGGUUUCGGCUCGUAAACUUCUAUCAACAGGGACGAAAGAAAUGACGGUACCUGCAUAAUAAGCCCCGGCUAACUACGUGCCAGCAGCCGCGGGAAUACGUAGGGGGCAAGCGUUAUCCGGAAUGACUGGGUGUAAAGGGUGAGUAGGCGGCAUGGUAAGCCAGAUGUGAAAGCCUUGGGCUUAACCCGAGGAUUGCAUUUGGAACUAUCAAGCUAGAGGACAGGAGAGGAAAGCGGAAUUCCUAGGGUAGCGGUGAAAUGCGUAGAUAUUAGGAAGAACACCAGGGGCGAAGGCGGCUUUCUGGACUGAAACUGACGCGGAGGCACGAAAGCGUGGGGAGCGAACAGGAUUAGAUACCCGGGUAGUC